AGGACGAACGCUGGCGGCGUGCCUAACACAUGCAAGUCGAACGCGCUCCAUUCGGUAGCAAUACUGAUGAAGAGUGAGUGGCGAACGGGUGAGUAACACAUGAGCAACCUGCCCCGAAGACUGGGACAACACCGGGAAACCGGUGCUAAUACCGGAUAUCCCUAUCGGACCGCAUGAUCUGAUAAGGAAAUGGAUUCCGCUUCGGGAGGGGCUCGUGGCCUAUCAGCUAGUUGGUGAGGUAACGGCUCACCAAGGCAUCGACGGGUAGCUGGUCUGAGAGGACGAUCAGCCACACUGGGACUGAGACACGGCCCAGACUCCUACGGGAGGCAGCAGUGGGGAAUCUUGCGCAAUGGGCGAAAGCCUGACGCAGCAACGCCGCGUGGAGGACGAAGGCUUUCUGAGUUGUAAACUCCUUUCAGCAGGGACGAUAGUGACGGUACCUGCAGAGAAGCACGGCCAACUACGUGCCAGCACG
rnacentral:rRNA from 1 species